UACGGGGGAGCAAGCGUUGUUCGGAUUUACUGGGUGUAAAGGGCGCGUAGGCGGUCAGCACAAGUCAGUUGUGAAAUCUCCGGGCUUAACUCGGAAAGGUCAACUGAUACUGUGCGACUAGAGUGCGGAAGGGGCAACUGGAAUUCUCGGUGUAGCGGUGAAAUGCGUAGAUAUCGAGAGGAACACCUGCGGCGAAGGCGGGUUGCUGGGCCGACACUGACGCUGAUGCGCGAAAGCCAGGGAGCGAACGGG
rnacentral:rRNA from 1 species